CAGAUGCAAAACAACAACAACAAAAAACCACUUCAUAAACCCAAUUUAUUUAAAGCUAAUAGAUACACCUUUACAGUAAAAUUUUUGUUUAAUAAUUUUUUGUGUACAGGAUGAUGAUAUGGUAUUUUAUGUGGAGGCCACUAUAAUGGACCAUAGAUUCAAGGAAAGGUGAAAAAUAAGGAAGUCUAGGAAAGACUGAAAAAGGAAGCAAUGAGGAAAAGCAAUCAUCAAAAUCUGCCAGAGAAGGAUGAUAAGGUGAUUGUGCAGGCUCAGGAUGGGUAACAGGAUGAAGAGUAGGAGGAGGAACAUGCAACUUGCAAUUUGCAAGAAAUCCAGUCUCUGAUACUGCACUAGAAGAACAUGUUCUACAGCAAAACACUGCAUCAACCUUCCAUGAAAAGAUCAAGAGUGAACUAUCAGUCCACAGAGACCACUUGCCUCAGAAGACCCUGCCCUCCGGUGGUGGGGUAAGAAAGACACUCUUCCUCUUCUCUCACAGCUCUGCAGCAGCUAACUCAUCCUCCUCAACACUGUCUGAAUGAGCAUUCCCCACAGCUGGACACAGUCAAUAAUCAGAGGGCUCAAAAGUAAGAAAGUCAGCAUGCUCAUUUUCUUGAAGAAAAACUGGUGAUGUAUUUUGGGUUGGGACAAAUAAUACAGGAGAGAUGCUAGAAAUCUAAAUAUUGUUCUAUUUACAUUUCUUUAUUCUUUAUGAAUGUUGUUAUUUUCUUUAUUUCAAGGACUGUAGUUCUUUGGUAAUUGUAAUAUCGUUUAGGUUUAGCUUCUGAUAGUAAAGUAGCACAUCACCACCAGACAUUUGUAGCAGUUGCCUCAUAGGAAACUCAGGAAACAAUUGAACUUAUUUUUGCAAAAGUAAAAAAAAAAAAAAAAAAAGUAAUAAUGAAGUAACUGCUGAAUCUUUUCAUAUCUUUUUAUCAUGUCUUUAUUUUUUGUACCAAAGUAUGAACAGUAGUAUUAAUAAAAGUAUCGAUAAGUAUCUGUGAUUAAAAUCGUUAUUUGUUUUAUGAUUAAAAUCAUUAUUUGUU